GACCGUUUCCUUGCCUGCACCCGUCCGGGUGGGCUGUGACCUUCGAGGUAGAGGGAACAUACAUUUCAAAGAGGC
rfam:Fibrobacter sp. TWB8 genome assembly, contig: Ga0136280_101